rfam:Myotis brandtii contig254792, whole genome shotgun sequence.
GUCUAUGGCCAUUCCACCCUGAACGUGCCUGAUCUCGUCUGAUCUCAGAAGCUAAGCAGGGUCUGCCUGGUAUUACUUGGAUGGGAGAAAAUUGAAAGGAUGUGGCUC